UACGGAGGAUGCAAGCGUUAUCCGGAAUAAUUGGGCGUAAAGCGUCCGUAGGUGGUUUUGCAAGUCUAUUGUCAAAGACUGGGGCUUAACCCUGGAAAGGCAGUGGAAACUGAAAGACUAGAGUGCAGUAGGGGUAGAGGGAAUUCCCAGUGUAGCGGUGAAAUGCGUAGAGAUUGGGAAGAACACCGGUGGCGAAAGCGCUCUACUGGACUGCAACUGACACUGAGGGACGAAAGCUAGGGGAGCGAAUGGG
rnacentral:rRNA from 1 species